GACGGCACACGAAUCAUACCAGAUCCCUGCUAAUCGUGUCACGAUAAAACCCUAAAAACCCGACCUAUCGUCUUCUCUACUGACGUCUUCCUUAUCCCGGCCGUCAAUGGCGAAGACCGCCGCCCGCUCCGAUCCCUCCAAGAAGGAGAAGAAGAAGAAGAAGGGGAAAGGGGCAAAGCGUCUGCCCUCCGGCCCCGCCGCUGCUGCCAUGAAGGCGGCGAAGCCGCCCCCCACAUUGAACCCCUUCGAGAGCAUAUGGUCUCGCAGAAAGUUCGACGUCGUCGGCAAGCGACGUAAGGGUGAGGAGCGUCGUAUCGGUCUCUCCCGAUCUCUCGCAGUCGAGAAGAGGAAGAAGACUUUGCUGAAGGAGUAUGAGCAAAGUGCAAAGUCAUCCGUGUUUUUGGACAACCGAAUUGGAGAAAAGGAUGAUACUCUACAAGAAUUCGACAAAGCCGUGUUACGUCUUCAACGUGAGCGCCAGUUAAAGUUGAAAAGAACUAGCAAAUACAAUUUGUCCGAUGACGAGGAAGAUGAUACUACAGUUGAUCAGCCACAUUCCUCUGACAAGGAUGAUUUUGAGGAUGAAGUGCCCCUAGAUGAUGAUGAAGAUGCUGAUUUCAAGAAUGGAGGUGGUUUAGCAUCGCCAAAACAUUUGAGCUUGCAGUCUCUGCAAAAUUCUUCAGAAUCUAGCUUGCUUGAUGGAGAGGAUCAGACACACAAAUCUAAGAAGCAAGUGAUGAUGGAGAUAAUCUCAAAGAGAAAAUUUUACAAGAUCACUAUGGCUACAAUUUGUCAAUUCAUAUCAGUGUCAAAUGCAAGAUGUUCACACGAGGUUGAUGAAACAAAAUUACGAGUUUAUUCCCCGGUGGUGGUACUACUCUCUACUCUUCUCCACGAUGGGUUUUACCAACUUGGUUCUUCGAUUCUGGAUGACUCUCCGAUCGAGCAGGUUCGGUUGACAGUCCCACCAACAGAUGAUAACACAUUGCAGGUCUUGACAUUCCGAACAUGGCUUAUCGUGCAGGUCUUGACAUUCCGAACAUGGCUUAUCGGAAUCCCCAUUUGCAUCCUCGGGUCCGUAAGUGCAGCAUUAUCCUUUUACCGACAGCAAAUGUUCUUUUUUUCAUAUGUCUGCAUCAACAUGAUGGUGUUCAUUGCUGGGAAACUAAUGGCUAACAUGCUACCGAACAAAGUGAUAAGAAUGCCAUACACAAACUGGAGUUUCUCGUUGAAUCCGGGACCCUUCAACUUGAAAGAACAUGUGGCGACCACCAUGUUGGCCGGCAGGGUAAGUGCUUCUGCCGGCUUUGAAAUAUUAACCAUAUCCAAGAUCUUCUACCACAAGGAUAUCCCGUUACUACCGGCCAUACUGCUGGUACUAUCGAUUCAGUUGCUAGUGCACUCGCCCUAUAUGUGGUGGCCUUCGACUCUAGUAGACGUCGCCUUCUACAGAGCAUUACACGAGCCGGAGAAAAGAGCCAAGGGAAAAUUGUCACGAUAUCAGUUCUUCAUUAUAGUCAUCGUUGCAAUUUUUACCUACAGUAUUAUUCCUGUUUACCUCUUUCCUUCUAUCACGGCUCUAUCGUUCGUUUGUUGGAUAUGGAAAGACUCGAUAACUGCGCAGCAAAUAGGUUCUGGAUUCAAUGCAUUAGGCAUAGGCUCUUUUGCGUUGGAUUGGAUGACCAUGUCAUCCUACAUGGACAUGGUAUAAAAGGGUUCAAAUGUUCAUAAAUUGUGUUGAACUUCAGUUGGCAUGUCUUUUUGGAGAUGGUCAUGGUAUAAAAGGGUUCAAAUGUCAAAUCCCCAGCAUGUUCCUUGGAUAAGAUAGAUCGACUGAGUUAAAAUUUCCAUUUUGCAUGGAAGCUCUACUCUUUCAAAAUGUUAAAGUUGAAAAGAACUAGCAAAUACAAUUUGUCCGAUGACGAGGAAGAUGAUACUACAGUUGAUCAGCCACAUUCCUCUGACAAGGAUGAUUUUGAGGAUGAAGUGCCCCUAGAUGAUGAUGAAGAUGCUGAUUUC